UACGUAGGGUCCGAGCGUUGUCCGGAAUUACUGGGCGUAAAGAGCUCGUAUGUGGUUUGUCGCGUUGUUCGUGAAAACUCACAGCUUAACUGUGGGCGUGCGGGCGAUACGGGCAGACUUGAGUACUGCAGGGGAGACUGGAAUUCCUGGUGUAGCGGUGGAAUGCGCAGAUAUCAGGAGGAACACCGGUGGCGAAGGCGGGUCUCUGGGCAGUAACUGACGCUGAGGAGCGAAAGCGUGGGGAGCGAACAGG
rnacentral:rRNA from 1 species